UACGUAGGGUGCGAGCGUUGUCCGGAAUUAUUGGGCGUAAAGAGCUCGUAGGCGGCCUGUUGCGUCUGCUGUGAAAGCCCGGGGCUUAACUCCGGGUCUGCAGUGGAUACGGGCAGGCUAGAGUCCGGCAGGGGAGACUGGAAUUCCUGGUGUAGCGGUGAAAUGCGCAGAUAUCAGGAGGAACACCGGUGGCGAAGGCGGUUCUCUGGGCAUUACCUGACGCUGAGGAGCGAAAGUGUGGGGAGCGAACAGG
rnacentral:rRNA from 1 species